UCUGAGCCCGGGCACAGCUUUGCUGCAGACGCUCGGCUAAGCAGCCUCACGUCUCUCCUGCCAGAGCCGGGCCCCGCGCCACACUUGUUCUGAACUGUAGGGCGCCGAGCUCUUUGGAGGUGGGGGCAGGAAGGCGCCAAUCCUUUGCUGAAAUGGGCGCCUGGGGGGCGGGCGUGCGCCCACUCUUGGUGAACUUCAUCAAGGAGUAUCCGGGGAAAUCCAGUCCAGGCCCCUGAUGUGGGGAGACACGGCCAGCGCUGAGGGAAAGCCGCGACUCUCUCAAGAGGGGCCACAGUUUCCUGUAAAAUGGAGACAGGCAGCUUGAAAUCCCACACACCAGUGUACAACAUCUAAAACAAGGAUGCGCAUUAGUUAACUGGAAUCUGACGCGGAUGAAAUCCAAGUCCCACUUCCAUUGGAUCUGAGCCACACUCACUAAGCAAUGACACAAGACAUGAAGCAUGUGGAGUGAGAAUCGAGUGCAUAAACAAGGCACUGGAAUCUUGAAGGAUCUCAGUGAAAGAAGCUGCCAGCCUCGUCACCUUAAUAAAGCCAGCUAGACCAGUUGGUGCUGGAACAACUGGAUAUCAACAUGCAAAAAAAAAGAAUUUGGAUUCCCUACCUCACUUCAUAUGCAAAAAUUAACUCAAAAUGAAUCACAGCCCUAAAUGUAAGUGAUAUAACCCUUAGAAGAAAUCAUAGGAGUAAAUCUUUGUGAUCUUGGGUUAAGCAGUUAUUUCUUACGUGCAACAUCAAAAGCACAAAUGAUAUUGCACAGCAAAGGAAACCAUAAACAAGACCAAAAGAUAACCCUCAGAAUGGGAGAAAAUAUUUGCAAAUGAAGCAACUGA